rnacentral:lncRNA from 1 species
AGUGACACAGCUACCAGCCAAAGAGCACCAAGGUUGGCUGGAGCCCCCAGCAGCGGGACAGAGGCGCAGAACAUAUGACCACAGGAGCACCUGGAAAGGACCAAACCCAGCAACAGUUGAAUUUGGACUUUUAGCCUCCAGAACCAUGAGAAAGUAAGACUCUGCUGGACUGUGGCACGCACCCGGAACACCCAUCCAGCCGCCCUGAAGGAUGCAGGCCUCUCCGCCUUUGGUUCUCCUGUGCCUCUUCAGGUAUGAGGGGUUCCAGCACCAGGCUGGCCCUGGCAGCCGGGAGCCAGAGGGGACCCUGCGCUUGCUAUUUGACUGGAUUCUCACGGCAGCUCUCAGAAAUCUGCACCAUGACUCCGAUUUGACUGAUGGAGACCCAGAUACCCAGAGAGAUUAAGCAGCUCCGGCCAGGCCAUGGCUUACAUUCCAGCUCCCUCUCACUGGGUGACAACUGGCUCCCUCUGUCCCCCACGUGGCCUUCUUCAGCUUGCUGCCUUUGCUGGGGAAGUGCCCACUCAGGACAGCUGAGGAGACGGAGCCACGGAGGUUGACAUAGGAGGUGAUGGAACAGCCAGUUUUCCUGCUGAGCCCAUCCGUAUAGACAGCCGGCAUGCAUUGAUGUGUCUCUCUCCCAGCUUCAACCCCUGUCUGCAGAGCUGGAGUCUCCGACUGUUCCCGCAUGUCCCUUCUCUGUUGUUACCUGCAGUCCAGACAAAAAUGGCAUAGUAAAAUAAAAGUUGAGAGAAUGC